rnacentral:lncRNA from 1 species
UUCUAAGGGAGAAAAUCAACAGUGCUCCGUAGAAGAAAAUUCCCACAUGUAGGCUAAUAUCAGCCUUUUCUUUUUCUUCCAGCUUCUAUGGUUAUAUCAACAAAUAGAAGUUAAAGAAACCACCGGUGCAAGCAUGUUCUGGGGUCUAGGGUAGAACAGCAAAUCAUUGAACAUACCAUGAGUAUUUUGCAUUUGAGGGCAGAAUUUCCUUUGAAGCUCAGUACUCAGUGGGAUUACAGCCUAAAAUACAAUUACAGUAAUUUUAUGAGAAAAGUAAAUGAGAAGGUAAGAGUUGGUUUAGAGGAGGAUGAAGAGGUUUAUUUAAAAUAGAAGUCACAAAU